UACGUAGGGGGCAAGCGUUGUCCGGAUUUAUUGGGCGUAAAGAGCGUGUAGGCGGCUAGAUAGGUCCGUUGUGAAAACUCGAGGCUCAACCUCGAGACGUCGAUGGAAACCAUCUGGCUAGAGUCCGGAAGAGGAGAGUGGAAUUCCUGGUGUAGCAGUGAAAUGCGUAGAUAUCAGGAGGAACACCGAUGGCGAAGGCAGGUCUCUGGGCUGACACUGACGCUCAUGCACGAAAGCGUGGGGAGCAAACAGG
rnacentral:rRNA from 1 species